CCGAGUUUACAACUCCCAAACCCCUGUGAACAUACCUAUACGUUGCCUCGGCGGAUCAGCCCGUGCCCCGUAAAAAGGGACGGCCCGCCCGAGGACCCCUAAACUCUGUUUUUAGUGGAACUUCUGAGUAAACAAACAAAUAAAUCA
rnacentral:misc_RNA from 1 species